AGCAGCCGCGGUAAUUCCAGCUCCAAUAGCGUAUAUUAAAGUUGUUGCAGUUAAAAGCUCGUAGUUGAAUUUCGGGAUCAAAUUGUCGGUCGUGCCUCGGUACGUACUGGCGUUAUUGGUUCCUCCCUUCUGAAGAACCGCGAUGUCAUUAAUUUGGUGUCGCGGGGAAUCAGGACUGUUACUUUGAAAAAAUUAGAGUGUUUAAAGCAGGCUCGCGCUUGAAUACAUUAGCAUGGAAUAAUGAAAUAGGACGUUUGAUUCUAUUUUGUUGGUUUCUAGGAUCGACGUAAUGAUUAAUAGGGAUAGUUGGGGGCAUUAGUAUUCAAUUGUCAGAGGUGAAAUUCUUGGAUUUAUUGAAGACUAACUACUGCGAAAGCAUUUGCCAAGGAUGUUUUCAUUAAUCAAGAACGAAAGUUAGGGGAUCGAAGACGAUCAGAUACCGUCGUAGUCUUAACCAUAAACUAUGCCGACUAGGGAUCGGAUGAUGUUAAUUUUUUUAAUGACUCAUUCGGCGCCUUAC
rnacentral:rRNA from 1 species